rnacentral:rRNA from 1 species
CAGCAGCCGCGGGAAUACGGAGGGUGCGAGCGUUAAUCGGAAUUACUGGGCGUAAAGCGUACGCAGGCGGUCUGUUAAGUCAGAUGUGAAAUCCCCGGGCUUAACCCGGGAACUGCAUUUGAAACUGGCAGGCUAGAGUCUCGUAGAGGGGGGUAGAAUUCCAGGUGUAGCGGUGAAAUGCGUAGAGAUCUGGAGGAAUACCGGUGGCGAAGGCGGCCCCCUGGACGAAGACUGACGCUCAGGUACGAAAGCGUGGGGAGCAAACAGGAUUAGAUACCCCUGUAGUCCCUGUCUCUUAUAC